rnacentral:rRNA from 1 species
AUACGUAGGUGGCAAGCGUUGUCCGGAAUUAUUGGGCGUAAAGCGCGCGCAGGUGGUUCCUUAAGUCUGAUGUGAAAGCCCCCGGCUCAACCGGGGAGGGUCAUUGGAAACUGGGGAACUUGAGUGCAGAAGAGGAUAGUGGAAUUCCAAGUGUAGCGGUGAAAUGCGUAGAGAUUUGGAGGAACACCAGUGGCGAAGGCGACUGUCUGGUCUGUAACUGACACUGAGGCGCGAAAGCGUGGGGAGCAAACAGGAUUAGAUGCCCUGGUAGUCCACGCCGUAAACGAUGAGUGCUAAGUGUUGGGGGGUUUCCGCCCCUCAGUGCUGCAGCUAACGCAUUAAGCACUCCGCCUGGGGAGUACGGUCGCAAGACUGAAACUCAAAUGAAUUGACGGGG